CUUAUCAGAUAUAUAAUUUGCAAAUAUUUCUCCCAUUCUACAGGUUGUCUUUUCACUCUCUUGAUUGUGUCCCUUGAUGUGGAAUAGGCUCUAUCUUUUUAUGGAGAAAUGUCAAAGAAUUCAUGGACGUUUUGAAGCUAUCACAGCAUAAAAGGGGUUUUGGCAAAAAAAAUUCCAAAGAAUGAGAAAUGAGGUGAUAGGAAGAGCCCCAAACUGCCACCCUGAGCGUUACGGGGGUGCAAAU